rnacentral:rRNA from 1 species
UGGGGAAUUUUGGACAAUGGGCGAAAGCCUGAUCCAGUAAUGCCGCGUGCAGGAAGAAGGCCUUCGGGUUGUAAACUGCUUUUGUACGGAACGAAAAGGCUCUUUCUAAUAAAGAGGGCCCAUGACGGUACCGUAAGAAUAAGCACCGGCUAACUACGUGCCAGCAGCCGCGGUAAUACGUAGGGUGCGAGCGUUAAUCGGAAUUACUGGGCGUAAAGCGUGCGCAGGCGGUUCUAUAAGACAGAUGUGAAAUCCCCGGGCUCAACCUGGGAAUGGCAUUUGUGACUGUAGAGCUAGAGUACGGUAGAGGGGGAUGGAAUUCCGCGUGUAGCAGUGAAAUGCGUAGAUAUGCGGAGGAACACCGAUGGCGAAGGCAAUCCCCUGGACCUGUACUGACGCUCAUGCACGAAAGCGUGGGGAGCAAACAGGAUUAGAUACCCCCGUAGUCCCUGAGCGGGCUGGCAAGGCGCAU